rnacentral:tRNA from 2 species
GCCCCCUUAGCUCAGUUGGUAGAGUGUUUCCAUGGUAAGGAAAAGGUCAACGGUUCGAUUCCGUUAGGGGGCUCGA